rnacentral:rRNA from 1 species
UACGGAGGAUCCAAGCGUUAUCCGGAUUUAUUGGGUUUAAAGGGUGCGUAGGUGGCUUAUUAAGUCAGGGGUGAAAGACGGUAGCUUAACUAUCGCAGUGCCUUUGAUACUGAUGAGCUUGAAUGAACUAGAGGUAGGCGGAAUGUGACAAGUAGCGGUGAAAUGCAUAGAUAUGUCACAGAACACCAAUUGCGAAGGCAGCUUACUAUGGUUAGAUUGACACUGAGGCACGAAAGCGUGGGGAUCAAACAGG